rnacentral:rRNA from 1 species
GAUGAACGCUGGCGGCGUGCCUAAUACAUGCAAGUCGAGCGAACAGACGAGGAGCUUGCUCCUCUGACGUUAGCGGCGGACGGGUGAGUAACACGUGGAUAACCUACCUAUAAGACUGGGAUAACUUCGGGAAACCGGAGCUAAUACCGGAUAAUAUAUUGAACCGCAUGGUUCAAUAGUGAAAGACGGUUUUGCUGUCACUUAUAGAUGGAUCCGCGCCGCAUUAGCUAGUUGGUAAGGUAACGGCUUACCAAGGCAACGAUGAGUAGCCGACCUGGGAGGGUGAUCGGCCACACUGGAACUGAGCCACGGUCCAGACUCCUACGGGAGGCAGCAGUAGGGAAUCUUCCGCAAUGGGCGAAAGCUUGACGGAGCAACGCCGCGUGAGUGAUGAAGGUCUUCGGAUCGUAAAACUCUGUUAUUAGGGAAGAACAAAUGUGUAAGUAACUAUGCACGUCUUGACGGUACCUAAUCAGAAAGCCACGGCUAACUACGUG